CAUGUGGUUUAUGGGGUCCUGACAUCCUGCUGCUCUCUAUAGAACACAAUGUUUCAACUGCUUGGUCUUCAGGGUAGCAGUUGACUGUAAGAGGCCUGUAAUUUCUGUGGGUUGCAGUCAAGUGCCUUGGCUUGUUCAGCUGCACAUGAAGUGAAUCUCUAUGUAUGUUGCUUUCUGUGUCAUAUUGUUGUCUGCAAUGUCGAUUUUAAAAUUUGCUGGUCUAUUAUUUAGUUUUUGGCAAAGGUCGUUAUGGUGAAAUAGUACAACAUCUUAACGGUUGUAUGUGUUUGGUUAUGAUGCACAUUGGAUAUUGGAUGUUUUAGCAUCCAAUAUCCACCCCUUCCUUUAAUGUGCUGCCCUUCAUCAGUUGUUUCGGUAAGUUUUCAGAGGUUGAGAUAUUUGCUUUCAAAAUAUAUUUAAGAACAAUGAUACAUUUAUUUUUUUGUGUAAAUUAAUGUAACUGACAUCACAAUCCAGAGUGAAAAAAAAUCAACUGUUUUUCUCCCAGGUGGGAGAAUGUGAUUAAGACUCUUAUUUUGAAAGAGAGACUUAUUUUCAAACGAAUAAAACAGUUUUAAAGUAAAUACAGGGGAACAACAAACGUGUAAGCACGUUUUUCAAGAACCACGAUGACUGCGUACGGAAAACCCAUUUUUACAGAAGCCAAUAUUCAGACAGUUCAUUCGUAGUACAACAACCCCUAUUUUUGGCAUUUCACUAUAGAUCGAAUAACAUGCCAUGUUCGGAAGCUGCAAAUCAAUAACGACCAAGCAUUCCUUGUCAAUACUUUAUUACUUCAGGCACAUAUAGCAGAGGAUGAACACUGAGGCAAUGUACACAUCUGAAACACUUACAUUUAACCAUACGCUAUCAAAAUGUAACACUUAUCUUACUGUUAAAAUGUAAGAGUUGAGCAACAGUGGGGGUUUUAAUGGAUAUGAGAUAGAGACACGUGGAUCAUGUAUGUUAUUGACUCAUUACCGGGUUAAAGGCUACUGUAAAAUGACGUACAACAAUAGCUUGUGACACACAGCUUAAUAAGGGUUUUGUUGGCAACAGUGAAGUGGACGUUCACUCUAGAUUCAAAAACAAAACAUAGUGUGAAAAGCUGUCCUCAAGGCAAAGGGGGAGGGGCUACUUAGAAGAAUCUAAAAUCUAAAAUAUAUUUUAAUUUGUUUAACACUUUUUUUU
rnacentral:lncRNA from 13 species